GGUGCUAUCGGCAGAAGAUAUAUCUAGACCGGUGAGCAUGGCUACAUCGGCAAGAGUAGGAGAAGCAGGGCCGUGGCCAAAGACAAAAGCGUUGAGGGUGUCUGACCAAAAGUAAGAUGCAGCUAUUAACAGUGACUCAUUCCUGUGCAUAUUGGCAAUGGAUAAUCUAAUGCAUUGAUCUAGCUUUCUCUCACCCCACUAGACUUCAUUGGAGUUGCUGACCUUCAAGAACCAGUCUUUCCACCCUACAGUAGGGCUGGGCCAAGAACGGAAGGUGUUUUCCACAGAUCUAAAGAAAAAUUUUCGGUUCUGAAAGGGAUCCUGUUGGUUUCUACGUUAAUAAGAUCGGUUGGAUCUGGAUCCCCUAGAGGACUGAGGCAUUGGAGGUGUGGUUGAUCGGUAGGGAUGACAAUUUUGUUGGACAAUUCCUGGUGGUUUUAGAAAUAAAGAAAAGGAACACAAAGAAAAGAAAAGAAAAAUAUUCAGUAAAAUGGAUUGCGGAUGAACGGGAAUGUGAGGAAAAGUAUAGGAGACGGAAUGAAGAACUGACCUCAGGGACGAUGAAGCUAAUAGCAAUCUUGCAACGAGGGGGAUCUCUGAGGGCUCCGGGGUUGGUGAGGAAGAGUCUUUGUCGGAGGACUUGGAGAUUUUGAAUGGCGCCGCCGCUAGGAAAGUAAAGUUGG
rnacentral:lncRNA from 1 species